AUCGCUUCUCGGCCUUUUGGCUAAGAUCAAGUGUAGUAAUGUGUUUUAGGUGAGUAUUCAGUGUUAGACCACAUUUAAAACCUCU
ensembl:snRNA U2 U2 spliceosomal RNA